CUUCCGUAGGUGAACCUGCGGAAGGAUCAUUAAAAAAUGUGGUACCAUUAUUGGUACUAAUUAAUCAUCCUACCCUUUGUGAAUUUGUUUGUAUGAAUUUUUUUAAAUGGGUCUUUCCCUAAGUUGGAUUGUUAGUAAAAUACAAAAAGACUUAGGGGAAUGACUUUUUAAAAGACUUUUUUUUAAUUAAACUUUUUGUAUUCAUUUGUCUAAAAUUUAUUUUUAUAAUAUAAAAACAACUUUUGACAAUGGAUCUCUUGGUUCUCGCAACGAUGAAGAACGCAGCAAAAUGCGAUAAGUAGUGUGAAUUGCAGAAUACGUGAAUCAUCGAAUCUUCGAACGCAUAUUGCACUUUUUUAGUUUACUAAAAAAGUAUGUCUGUUUGAGUAUCAGUAAAAUAUUCUCACAAAACAUAUAUUGUUUUGUGGUUAUGAGUGUUUUACAACGAUAAACAAGUUGUUUCACUUUAAAUUCUUUUUAAUUGAAUUUUACCAAUUCAUAAAUUAAAAUUGGAUAAAAUUUUCCUUUAACGAGGAAUAACCUAAACAAUUUUAAAUUUUAUGGAUUAAUAAACAUUCAUCAAAGGAAUCUAUAUACAUAAAUAACUUGAUCUCAAACAGAUAAGAGUACCCGCUGAACUUAAGCAUAUCAAUAAGCGGAGGAAAAGAAACUAACAAGGAUUCCCUUAGUAACGGCGAGUGAAGCGGGAAGAGCUCAAAUUUGAAAUCUUCAAGGUUUGACCUUGACGAAUUGUAGUUUAUAGAAGUGUUUUCUGUUGGAGUUUUGGUAAAAGUUCUUUGGAAUAGGACAUCAUAGGGGUGAGAAUCCCGUAUUUGACCAUGACUUUCCAGCUGUGUGAUACACUUUCAAAGAGUCGGAUUGUUUGGAAUGCAGUCCAAAAUGGGUGGUAAAUUUCAUCUAAAGCUAAAUAUUGGCGAGAGACCGAUAGCGAACAAGUACCGUGAGGGAAAGAUGAAAAGAACUUUGAAAAGAGAGUUAAACAGUACGUGAAAUUGUCAAAAGGGAAGCGUUUGACACCAGUGUUGUUUUCUCGAAAAUCAAUUUAAUGAGUUCUUGUUUUUAAGUUAUUGUGACUUUAUCAGCGCAUUUCUUAUUUUACUUGACUCAUUGAAUGCACUUUUCGUUUAACAAGUCAACAUCAAUUUCUUUGGUGGUAAAAAGUUUAAAGGAAGGUGGCUUGGACUUCGGUUCAAGUGUUUAUAGCCUUUCUUCUAUGCCAUCGGAGAGAUUGAGGUCUGCAGCGUAGAUCCUUCGGGGUUAGAUACCUUUGUGCUAAGUUAUAGUUUUUUAUAGACAACUUGUUGACUAUAAUUAACCCUGUAAUUUACUCGCUUAGGCUAUUU
rnacentral:misc_RNA from 1 species